GACGAACGCUGGCGGCGUGCUUAACACAUGCAAGUCGAACGGAAAGGCCCUUCGGGGUACUCGAGUGGCGAACGGGUGAGUAACACGUGGGUAAUCUGCCCUGCACUUCGGGAUAAGCCUGGGAAACUGGGUCUAAUACCGGAUAUGACCCCGAGGCGCAUGCCUUGGGGUGGAAAGCUUUUGCGGUGUGGGAUGGGCCCGCGGCCUAUCAGCUUGUUGGUGGGGUGAUGGCCUACCAAGGCGACGACGGGUAGCCGGCCUGAGAGGGUGUCCGGCCACACUGGGACUGAGAUACGGCCCAGACUCCUACGGGAGGCAGCAGUGGGGAAUAUUGCACAAUGGGCGCAAGCCUGAUGCAGCGACGCCGCGUGGGGGAUGACGGCCUUCGGGUUGUAAACCUCUUUCACCAUCGACGAAGGUCCGGGUUUUCUCGGA
rnacentral:rRNA from 1 species